CGACAACGGUCGCACCGUGGCCGACACCUAGCGAGUAUCGUUUACGGCUAGGACUACCCGGGUAUCUAAUCCGGUUCGUGCCCCUAGCUUUCGUCCCUUGCCGUCAGGUCCGUUCUGGUGAGACGCCUUCGCCACUGGUGGUCCUUCAAGGAUUACAAGAUUUCACCCCUACCCCUGAAGUACCUCUCACCUCUCCCGGCCUCGAGCCGAACAGUAUCUCCUGAAAGCCCAACAGUUGAGCUGCUGGAUUUCUCAAGAGACUUAUCCGGCCGGCUACAGACCCUUUAGACCCAAUAAUAACGGUUACCACUCGAGCCGCCGGUGUUACCGCGGCGGCUGGCACCGGUCUUGCCCGGCCCUUGCUAUGCAAUGCUUUUUAGGCAUCACGACAGCCAGAUUUGUAACCUGGCACUCGAGGUCCCCUUAUCGCCGUUGCCGGCAUUGUAAAGUUUUCGCGCCUGCUGCACCCCGUAGGGCCUGGAUUCGUGUCUCAGAAUCCAUCUCCGGGCUCUUGCUCUCACAACCCGUACCCGUCGUAGGCUAGUAGGUACGCUACACCCACUACUACCUGAUAGGCCGCAGACCCAUCCUCUGGCGCCGGAGCUUUCGAUCUCGGGGCAUUCCAGCGACCGAGAUCUAUCGGGGAUUAUACCCAGUUUCCCGGGUUUAUACCCGUCCGGAGGGUAGGUUGUCCACGUGUUACUGAGCAGUACGCCAUGUAUUGCUACAUUCGACUCGCAUGGCUUAGUCGAACCUCGAUAGCAG
rnacentral:rRNA from 1 species